AGCAACAAAACAAUGUGCGCCGACUUCACGUAUAAUACGUCAGUCUUUCGCUGUUGCAUAGCCCAAAAAGUAACGGAAUCCCCGACGUGCGAGACGCGACCGCUGCGCUUCUCCUUUCCCCUCCGCCGCAGGGCGCACGUUCCUCUCUUAGCGCUUUUCUGAAGGAGCGGGCUGCCAAGGCGUGCGUGUGAUUCCUCACGAAAGAAAGGUCAGAGCACAUUCUAUCCACAGAAAAGAAACAUAAGCACACACACACACACACACACACACACACACACACACACACACACAGGCUUCUAUGCGAGGAAGCCGAACUGCGGAUACAUCAAAGGACAAGGCUGCUUGGUACCAGGGAUGGGCAACAGCUCUAGCCGGGAGUGGUUUGACCCCUACGCGAUCAACACUCCGCUUGCCGGUGUGUGUGCGGUCUCAUGCCUCUUCAACAGCGUGCCAAAUGGCGUGCUGCGAAUAUCGAACGUCUACACCAACGUCACACUGCUUGUACUCCUCGGCUGCUCCACCGGGUUUAGCACCUCGCUGCACAUGCCGCUGCUAGGCGCGCAGGCGGGUCUCACAGCGUCGCUGCUCUUCACCUUGGGCGCGCCAAUGAAGAUUCUCUUCACGAGCCGACUCUUUCCGCGCUCCGUGCAUUACGGGAUUGGUGCAUUUUACACUACCUACCACGCAAUGCAGCUGCAGAAGGAGCUGAACUACUUUGAAGACGCACACGAAGACGGUGAGGAUGAGUUUUUUUAGUUUGCCUGCCCGCUCCGCGACCUAGGCGAAUGCGCAGCUGCCUGUGCUGCUGUGUGAGGGUCUUGAUCGAUGGCUGUGCGUGUGAGUGCGCGUUUCGUGUUUGCUGCGCCACGUGUGUGUGUGUGUUUUCAGAGGCCUUCCAGGCUGCACACGUGAACAGAGCACACUCGAAAAGGGGUGCCCAUCAAGUUGAAUGCCGCAUCGCCGAGGAACAGACACGCACACGUACAGGCACACGUGGGCGCUGGGAUACACGUUUGAACACACAUACAGUGCCAGCAACAACGAUACUACUUCAGGGACUCGUCUUGCCCCCGUGUUUGUGUGAGCAUUGCGACACCCGCUCGUUUCCUCCUUGUCGCCGCUCGCACACACACACACACACACACACACACACAGGCAAGCUCACGCUAUUCAGCUGCACAUGCGGGAAGGAGGCACAUCAUCCUUUUUGCUCGUAUGCGUGUGUGUAGUCUC
rnacentral:misc_RNA from 1 species